rnacentral:rRNA from 1 species
GACAGAGGAGCCAAGCGUUGUCCGGAUUGACUGGGCGUAAAGCGCACGUAGGCGGCUUUUUAAGUCAGGGGUGAAAUCCUGGAGCUCAACUCCAGAACUGCCUUUGAUACUGAGAAGCUUGAGUCCGGGAGAGGUGAGUGGAACUGCGAGUGUAGAGGUGAAAUUCGUAGAUAUUCGCAAGAACACCAGUGGCGAAGGCGGCUCACUGGCCCGGUACUGACGCUGAGGCACGAAAGCGUGGGGAGCAAACAGG